UUAAGUUUUUAUUCAAAAUAACUAUUUGGACUUAGUAUUAGAACAACAAAAACAUGCUGUGUCUUUCAAUGCAGACAAAAACUUAAGCAGUCAAUAUGCAAUUCUUGAAACAAUGAGAAUUUCAGCAAUCAAGUAUGAGGCAAUUCUUGUUUCCCACACUAGGUCAGCACUUUCUUGUAGAGUUAGUUCAUGUCGUCAUAGUGUGCUCCACGGAGGUGACUCAUUUGUGUAUUUUGGAGUUCAGACAAAGCCUACUAGCUGACUUUUCUCUGUUACCUUCCACAUGUUUUCCUGCACUUGGAACAGCACAGUCUGCCUGCUAUCUGCAAAUGAAACAGCUUCUCAUCUAUAUUUUCCUUACACACAAAGAGACUUCUAAGUGUGUCAGGCUAUGGCUGAGAAAGCUAGAUUGCAUGCUACCUGAAAAUUUUCACAGAGGGAUCUAAAAAUGAUCUUGUUUAAUUAACAGAUAGGGGUGUUUUUCUGUGCUGGUCCAACUAUUUGACAACUGCUACAGCUUGUAAAGUUGAGUAUAAUUACACAGGGCUGAAGAUCCCUAAUAAUGCAGUAGUUUUUCAUCUGUAUAGAAGUAACUCUGCCAGAAUGGCUGUAUUCAUAUAGACAUUACUGCAAUACAUGAUACCAGAUGUACCAUUUUAACUAUCUCGGUAUUGUUAAAAUGGGCAGUUUAACAUUUAUGUGUGUAAAAAGCCUUUAAGCAGAGAAAUGCUCAAUCUGUUCUCCAUUUUGGAAAAGUAUUUAUUACCUUAGGAAGAUUGUAGUCACCUUGACAACAUGAAGCUUUGCUCAAACUCUAUCAGUUCAAUUCUCUCUAUGUAGUCAGACAUGAAAUUGAGUUACAGUGGCUUAAUGGGUUACCACAUGUCAGUGGAGACGAAUCUGUGUGCAGUCCAGUAGCCCAUUGCCAAUACAAGGCAAAAAUCAUUAGAUCAAACAACUCCAUUUCACAGAGGUUUUAAAGAGUUUUUUCUUCUCAUGUAUGCUUGUAGUCUAAGAAUGAACACACAAUCUAUUGCUAUGUUCAGCUGAAGACUAAGGCAUUAUUAAGCAGUAAUAAGUUGAUCUUGUAACUGAACUACAAAUCAGAAUUUUUAAAUAAUUUAAUGAAAUCAGUUUUAAAUUACUGAAUGGGAAUUGAAAACAUGUAUAUAAGAAAUUAAUCUGUUUUAUAUGCUGACAAAAUAACACCUGUAGUGAGUGCAUUUAGUUCACUUAUAUACUGAUGACUGGAUAUUUUCAGAGGCAGCUUAGAAUCCAUGAUUUCCAUUUGAAACAUUUCCAGGUGUGUUUAGGCAGUUUUUUCCCAUUUAUCCCUAGAAUUUCAUGUUUAUGCUUGUUUCAAGAAAAUUACACGAUCUUUUGGACUUCAGACAAUUUUACCUUCAUAAUGAAUCUUCUUUUUUAUUUUUUCAACCUGUCACAGAUUUGCUGACAUAUAAAGAAACACCUUUGGAGAGCCAAACCGCAACGUUAUGAACAAACAGCUAUAUUUGGGUUUGAUUCUUAACAAAACCAUGCUCUUUGUUUUGUAAGUUUUACUAAAAAAGAUAAAAUAAUUACUAUACUUAAAUUAAUGGCUCAAUAGAUAUCUCAUCUCUUGAUUACAAUUAUGCUUAUAGCAAGAACAUUGCCAUCAACUGUAAUGCCUGAAAAUGUUGUGAGAACUUCAAGAAACCGAGAUCUGACUACACAUCAUCAAGAAAUGCCUCUAGGGUAAUGUGUUGAAGAAAAAGAGGGUUCUGCUCUUUCAGAAUUAAAAAAGAAUGUGGUCAUAUUAAAGUUUAUGUUAGUUUCAUCUUAGCUGACACUAAAGAACAUAAUUAUUUGCAAGAGAAAUUUGUAAGUAAAUAUUGUCAGCAUUUUUUCACACUUUUUUGUUGUGAAACAGAAACCAUUGAAUAUAAUGAGAAGGAAGUUAAGAAACUCCCUCUCAGGAUACCAGGAGUUUCUUACAUAUUGCCACACCCUGUCAGUAAAAAACAGAUCUCUUAAUUGCAGCUAAUCUAGAUUGCUUGAAACACUGUACUGCAAGCACCCGGCCAAGUUCUGUUUAGCAGCAAUGCUUACAGUUGCUCCUGGUGUCAAAAACUCCUGAGGUCAGAAUUUUAUCACCACUUCUUUAGCUUACUAGCAGAUUCUCCCUCUCAUUUUUGAGGGCUGUUGGGAUUUUUUUUUUGUUUUGUUGUGUUUUUUUGUUGCUUUAAGAAAAAGAGAGAGAAGAAAAAAAGCUCUAAACACUGAGCUAUUAUCUAUAAAAUUGAUUUAUGAUGGCUUAUGAAAUUUACCUGUACUUCAGUUCUUGAGGAGAAAAACAGUUAGGGAGUAAGAAUACUUCCAUAAUUAUGCUCAUCAGUCUCAUUUUUGGUAUCUUUUUUUAGCCAUGAGUAAAAGCACAAAUGUUCUUUUCAAGUAAGGUGGACCUGAGACUGAUUUCUCAUCAACCUCUAAAUAACCUGUCUGUAGUAACUUCUGGUUCGCCUGGAUUGGAUUAGGUUUGGCAGAUUGGAGGUACACUGCUUUCCUGGAAAUCUCAGGGAAAAAAAAGCUCCCAGGAAGUCAGUUUUCCACUAAAUUGUAAAAAAGUUUUAUCAAGUUUUUUUUUUUUUUUUAAUCUUAAUCUUUGUGCAGCAUUAAUUUGCAUAUUUCAUUCCUUACUGUAAAUUUUGUUCCAUGGCAAUUGCAUUGCUUUUUAUAACUGUGCUGUGAAUGAAGCAAGCCUUAGAACUAUUCUUUUCUAUUUUGACUUUUUUAUAUGUGUUUCUAUUUAUAGAUAAGGAUGGGCCCAACUUCCCACCUUUUGAUAAGUAAAGAAUAAAACAGAAGCAAACAUAUAAUUUCCAAGGUGACAAGAAAUCUCCCACAGAAAUUGUACAAUAAUAGGAUCUAGUAAAUGCUUGCUAUUCAAAAGUUUACCACCACAGCAUCUGAAAACCUCAUCGUGAAGGUGGCAGACAGGUGUCCAGAAGGCAGAUCUCACUGCGUGAGAAACAUGGGAGGUGUUUGCCUCCACUAAUUUGUCUGGCUAUCAAGCUCAGUUACUGACCACUGGGCUCCAAAGCGAGGAGUGAAAGCAUGCUUUGCCAUGGUUUAAUGGUCUUCAGGCCAAAACCUCUCCAGUGAUGCACUAUUAAAAGUGCAAAUCACAAAGUGAUCAGAGCAGGGACCACAACAUGGACUAGAACUGUGACAGUUCACACUUCAUAAUUAAACUGACAGCAAGAUUAAGUAAGGGUUUCUUUUAUAAAAUGAAAAUGAAGAGUACAGGAUGGUAAGAGGUAAUCUGCCUUUCAAUAGAAAUAAGAUAUGAAACAUGUAUUCUCGUGUUUGUACUGGAUAAGAUCCUAUUCAAUGCUGAUGAUGUAAUAUGUGAAUGUUGGCUGGAAAUAAGAUGAUUUACAUUUAUUAUAUGCUAUGCCAUGUAACGAUUAUCUGAAGUAUCUUUUCUUUGUCAUGAUUUAAAACCAGAUCUUAUCAUGUCAUGGAAAAUAUGAAAAAAAAGAUUUUGUGAACACUGUAUGUGUGCAUAUAUUAUCUUACAAUGCUUGCCACUUAUGAGGAUAUAGAAAACAAACUGUUUAUUCUCAAGAGAAGUUUAAAGUAUUAAUUAUUUUGAAUGCUCUUUAAUAUAAUUGGUACUUUCAAAGAACUUGACUUAGAAAAUUAGGAGUUUCUAAAACAAACACCCAACAAACAAACACCCAACAAUUCUUUUUGGGCUUCAUUGCAGCUAGUUGUGCAUACUUAAAUGAGACUAAGAUUUUCCCUAAAAUUGUUAAAACCAUGUAUGUUUAAAAUGGUAACUAAUUUCUAAUAACACCUUUAAAUCACAGUAUUUACAUUCCUGAUCCAAAAGACAACAAAGAAGUCACAGAGACAGAAUUAUUGUCCAUAUCUGUAGAUAUAUGCCAUGGUAUGGAAACAUAGAAAAUGUUUUUUUUCCCCUAAUGCUUGUAGUUUUCAUACUUUGUUUUUCUAAGUCAGAGUGCUUCAGACUGGGGUCUCGGUAUCUGAUUGUGGAACAGCUCCAUGAAGAGAGAUUGUGAGCAGUGCUUCUUAGACUAGCUGAGACCCUGUGGGGCAGAACACUCAUUUGGAUAAUGAGAUAAUAUCACCAUCAGGUCUUAAAUAGGAAUCUCCAACAUUUGACUCUUCACUACCACAUUCCUUGCUAUUAAAUUGUUGUGGUCUGUUUGGUGUUUUCCUGAAUGUAUUAAAUCUUUCUAUCCUCAACAACUAGUGUGAUCUUGAUGAUAUGAUUAAUUUGACAACAUUUCCAUAUUUCUUAAAAAAACCCUUCAAACCAACUGGAUUAACUCUAGGUUAGUUCAGAAAUAUAUCACACAUUGUCAUCAUAAAUAAAUUUGUUUGACAGUACC